CAAGGGGACCCUAAAAAUGCCUAACUCAGCAGCACGGCGAAAAUGGAGACCUCGGAGCAAGGAGCAUGUGAAAGGACCAGCCCUGCAGAUCCAAAGCUGCAGAAUCUCCAUGACACAGACAACAGGGCAUCCUAGAGGAAUCCCAGUGAGGACCCAGCACUGGUGGUACAGCAGAAGCCGGAGGCCUCAAACCAGACCAAUGACUCAGUGCAAUGAACACUGGCAAAUAUGGGACAUGGACCUUAUUCAGAUUAUCCACAGAAGCCGACUAUUUGCUUUGUGUAGGCUCUGAGAGGGGCCCUUUGCCAGCUAAAGAUAGUUUAAUUCUGAGGACUCGGGGGAGGGAAUAAUGCCAGAGCCCAGAGAGAGAAAGGGGGUUCAGAGAAGAAUGCUGCUGCUCCCCCUUCCCCCCUCCCCCGCUGCUCCUGGCUGCUGUUGAUGCAGUGUGAUGAGAAGAAGCUGGAGAUCUCCUGAAAGGAAGAUUGGACUUUCAACAAGGAACCCGACAACCCUAACCAGCAGGAAGUAGCCAAAGAGAACUAUGCCCCUUUCCCUAUUAACCUUCUUUCUCUCCUACCUGGUGUUGGGGUGUUGGAAGGGAUUGGGGUGAAGAAUAGAGGAAGAGGUAUAAGAAACUACAACAAAAUAAA